rnacentral:rRNA from 1 species
AGAGUUUGAUCCUGGCUCAGAUCUGAACGCUGGCGGCAUGCCUUACACAUGCAAGUCGAGCGGGGUUUUCGGACCUAGCGGCGGACGGGUGAGUAAUGCGUAGGAAGCUGCCCGAUAGAGGGGGAUACCAGUUGGAAACGACUGUUAAUACCGCAUAAUGUCUACGGACCAAAGUGUGGGACCUUCGGGCCACAUGCUAUCGGAUGCGCCUACGUGGGAUUAGCUAGUUGGUGAGGUAAUGGCUCACCAAGGCGACGAUCUCUAGCUGGUUUGAGAGGAUGAUCAGCCACACUGGAACUGAGACACGGUCCAGACUCCUACGGGAGGCAGCAGUGGGGAAUAUUGGACAAUGGGCGCAAGCCUGAUCCAGCCAUGCCGCGUGUGUGAAGAAGGCCUUCGGGUUGUAAAGCACUUUCAGCGAGGAGGAAGGGAUGUAUGUUAAUAGCAUGCAUUUUUGACGUUACUCGCAGAAGAAGCACCGGCUAACUCUGUGCCAGCAGC